rnacentral:lncRNA from 1 species
AGCAGCUUCAAGCUUGAAAAUGUCUUGGGCCUUAUAUGCCUGGCUUCCCGCUGAAGAGCUGAAGCAGAGUGGAAGGUGCUGUGACAUGACCAGCAGUGAGAAGAUGGUGCAGUGGCACCAGAGGAAAAUCAAAUGAAAAGUGUUCACCUCGGCAGCUACUGAGAAUGCUGGAGAAAAAAAAGCAGAAUUUGGGACUGUUAUUAAGGUAUGCUUUGAAAGGUGGAUGUUUUGCCUGCUGCAGGGC